rnacentral:rRNA from 1 species
AGAGCGAACGCUGGCGGCAGGCCUAACACAUGCAAGUCGAGCGCCCCGCAAGGGGAGCGGCAGACGGGAGAGUAACACGUGGGAACGUACCCUUUGGUUCGGAACAACCCAGGGAAACUUGGGCUAAUACCGAAUAAGCCCUUACGGGGAAAGAUUAUCGCCAAAGGAUCGGCCCGCGUCUGAUUAGCUAGUUGGUGAGGUAACGGCUCACCAAGGCGACGAUCAGUAGCUGGUCUGAGAGGAUGAUCAGCCUCACUGGGACUGAGACACGGCCCAGACUCCUACGGGAGGCAGCAGUGGGGAAUAUUGGACAAUGGGCGCAAGCCUGAUCCAGCCAUGCCGCGUGGGUGAUGAAGGCCCUAGGGUUGUAAAGCCCUUUCGGCGGGGAAGAUAAUGACGGUACCCGCAGAAGAGCCCGGCUAACUUCGUGCCAGCAGCCGC